rnacentral:rRNA from 1 species
GGAAGGAUCAUUGUCGAAACCUGCCCCAGCAGAACGACCCGAGAACCAGUUUCAGAGCGGGGGAUGAGGGGCCUCGCGGCGCCUCGACCCUCUGUCCCGGGAGGGGUCGCGUCGCGUUCGCGCGACCGUCCCUUCCCGGGCGUACAAACGAACACCGGCGCGAACUGCGCCAAGGAAAUCGAACGAGAGAGCGCGUCCCCGUCGCCCCGGAAACGGCGUGCGCGGGCGGCGUCGCCAUCUUCUUAUAUGUCAAAACGACUCUCGGCAACGGAUAUCUCGGCUCUCGCAUCGAUGAAGAACGUAGCGAAAUGCGAUACUUGGUGUGAAUUGCAGAAUCCCGUGAACCAUCGAGUCUUUGAACGCAAGUUGCGCCCGAAGCCAUUAGGCCGAGGGCACGCCUGCCUGGGCGUCACACGACGUUGCCCCCCCGACCAAUCCCUCGGGAUUGCGAGGGGGGGCGGAUGAUGGCCUCCCGUACGCUCCGUCGCGCGGUUGGCACAAACACCAAGUCCCCGGCGACGCACGCCACGACAAUCGGUGGUUGCGAAACCUCGGUUGCCCGUCGUGCGCGGUCGUCGCGCGUCGGGGGCUCGAAAAAAAACGCUCGCCCGGCUACGGCUCGGCUUCGACGCGACCCCAGUCAGGCGGGUUUMCCCGCUGAAWUU